rnacentral:rRNA from 1 species
UACGUAGGAGGCGAGCGUUGUCCGGAAUCACUGGGCGUAAAGCGCGUGUAGGCGGAUGACUAAGUUUGCUGUGAAAGCGCCUGGCUUAACCGGGCGAGGUCGGCGAAAACUAGUCGUCUGGAGGCCGGUAGAGGGGGGUGGAAUUCCGGGUGUAGUGGUGAAAUGCGUAGAGAUCCGGAGGAACACCCGUGGCGCAGGCGGCCCCCUGGGCCGCGCCUGACGCUGAGGAACGAAAGCCAGGGGAGCAAACGGG